AUUGAACGCUGGCGGCAGGCUUAACACAUGCAAGUCGAGCGAGCGGCGGACGGGUGAGUAAUGUCUGGGAAACUGCCUGAUGGAGGGGGAUAACUACUGGACACGGUAGCUCAUACCGCAUACCAUCAGAUGUGCCCAGAUGGGUUUCGCUAGUAGGUGGGGUAAGGGCUCACCUAGGCGACGAUCCCUAGCUGGUCUGAGAGGAUGACCCGCCAACCUGGAACUGUGACACGGCCCAUACUCGUCCGUGAGGCAGCAGUGGGGAAUAUUGCACAAUGGGCGCAAGCCUGAUGCAGCCAUGCGGCGUGUGUGAAGAAGGCCUUCGGGUUGUAAAGCACUUUCAGCGAGGAGGCGUUACUCGCAGAAGAAGCACCGGCUAACUCCGUGCCAGCAGCCGCGGUAAUUC
rnacentral:rRNA from 1 species